UACAAGAUGGCAGCCUUCAGAGCUCUGGUGACCAGGGCAUUCAUGCAUGUGACUAAGUGGAAACAAAGAAAGAAGGAAAUGGAUUAUAUUCUUAAUAUAGGGCUCAGGCAUGGAUAUAGUUGGAGGGUGAUGAAAGGUAUUGUGGAAAGUACCAGAAGAAAUAUCGAGAGAGGAGAGAGUGUAAGGGCAGGAGAAUAUGAUAGGACGAGGAGAUAUUUCUCCCAGGUUGAAUACUAUCGAGCAACUGAUAAAAGUCCUAGCAAGAGUGACAAAACAAGAGAAUAAGAGGAUGGUAAGAAAGAGGGGGCAAAA
rnacentral:lncRNA from 1 species